rnacentral:rRNA from 1 species
GCGCAAUGGGGGCAACCCUGACGCAGCAACGCCGCGUGAGUGAAGAAGGCCUUUGGGUCGUAAAGCUCUGUCAACAGGGAAGAAAUUAUAAUUGUUUAAUAGAUGAUUGUAUUGACGGUACCAGUGGAGGAAGCGCCGGCUAACUCCGUGCCAGCAGCCGCGGUAACACGGGGGGCGCAAGCGUUAUUCGGAAUUAUUGGGCGUAAAGGGCGCGCAGGCGGUCUUGUCCGUCAGGUGUGAAAGCUCGGGGCUCAACCCCGGAAGUGCACUUGAAACAGCAAGACUUGAAUACGGGAGAGGAAAGAGGAAUUCCUGGUGUAGAGGUGAAAUUCGUAGAUAUCAGGAGGAACACCGAUGGCGAAGGCAGCUUUCUGGACCGAUAUUGACGCNGAGGCGCGAAGGCGUGGGUAGCGAACGGGAUUAGAUACCCCGGUAGUCCACGCAGUAAACGUUGUACACUCGGUGUGGC